GCCAAUUUACUAGAGAAGGAGGGCAACUGCAAGUAAUUUCCAGCCAACUGUCAAAGCAGCUGGGGAAUAUGUGCACCAUCUGGGAAAAAGCAUCUGACUGGCUACCAACAUGCUUAUUAUAAACAUUAUCACUCCACUGGCCACUCAGGGUCACAACUCCUUUCCCAUCAAGCCAUGCUGCAUCAGUCACUAAAUGUUGAAAAUUCUUCCUUCACACUUUUCUUUCUUGUGUUCUGCCCUUAUUUCUUUCCAGCCACCACUUGGAGCAGUUCGAGAUCUUACUGACUCACGCUCAAUCUACAAUCUUAUUUUCCUAACAAAUCUCAAGAGUUCCAGAGGCAAAAAAGGCAUCACAGGCCCAGAGAUGUCAUGAAUAAGACCUGUCAGACAUUGGAGCCUACAUCCACUCUUCUCUGGUGCAGUGGGCAGGACCUUAAUCUCAAAUACAGUAAGGUAAAGUGGAAAUCAUGUGAGAGCACAAGAAAUAUAAGUAUUGUCUACUUGACACUACAGUAUAAAAAGGGAGUUAUUAAAUUACUACUUUAAGAUCUUAGU
rnacentral:lncRNA from 1 species